AUUGAACGCUGGCGGAAUGCUUUACACAUGCAAGUCGAGCGGCAGCACGGGGGCAACCCUGGUGGCGAGCGGCGAACGGGUGAGUAAUACAUCGGAACAUGCCCAGUCGUGGGGGAUAACACUUCGAAAGAAGUGCUAAUACCGCAUACGUCCUGAGGGAGAAAGCGGGGGAUCGCAAGACCUCGCGCGAUUGGAGUGGCCGAUGUCAGAUUAGCUAGUUGGUGGGGUAAAGGCCUACCAAGGCAACGAUCUGUAGCUGGUCUGAGAGGAUGAUCAGCCACACUGGGACUGAAACACGGCCCAGGCUCCUACGGGAGGCAGCAGUGGGGAAUUUUGGAAAAUGGGGGCAACCCUGAUCCAGCCAUUCCGCGUGAGUGAAGAAGGCCUUCGGGUUGUAAAGCUCUUUCGGCAGGAACGAAACGGCGAGCUCUAACAUAGCUUGCUAAUGACGGUACCUGAAGAAGAAGCACCGGCUAACUACGUG
rnacentral:rRNA from 1 species